UGUGUGUGUGUGUAUGUCUGUAUGUAUGUGUAUGUGUAUACAUAUAUAUACACACACACACACACACACA